GAUGAACGCUAGCGGCAGGCCUAACACAUGCAAGUCGAGGGGCAUCAUGGCGUAGCAAUACGCUGAUGGCGACCGGCGCACGGGUGCGUAACGCGUAUGGAACCUACCCACCGCAGGGGGAUAACCCGCCGAAAGGCGGACUAAUACCCCAUGGUUCCCCGACCCUGCCUGGGGUUGGGGGUAAAGCCUACGGGCGGCGGUGGAUGGCCCUGCGUGCCAUUAGCUGGCUGGUGGGGUAACGGCCCACCAGGGCGACGAUGGCUAGGGGGUCUGAGAGGACGAUCCCCCACACUGGUACUGAGACACGGACCAGACUCCUACGGGAGGCAGCAGUGAGGAAUCUUGCGCAAUGGGGGCAACCCUGACGCAGCCAUGCCGCGUGAAUGAUGAAGGCCUUAGGGUUGUAAAGUUCUUUUGCCCGUGCGAUGAUGACGGUAACGGGAGAAUAAGCUCCGGCUAACUUCGUGCCAGCAGCCGCGGUAAGCUCGUCUCUA
rnacentral:rRNA from 1 species